rnacentral:tRNA from 2 species
UCAAAAUCCGUUGGUUCCAAAGGACCGUGAGGGUUCAAGUCCCU